UCUCACAAGUGGGACGUUGAGACAAUGUGAUCUCAGUUUUUACUUGUGACGUUACUUGUUUUUGAGGAAGCUAAUCUUCGCCGGAUUUCGAUUUUUUCGUACUUUUUCAAAUUAAUUUUCCACAAACUGGGAGAUAUUGUGUUCAGUUUUAGAAAAGCUGGCCCAGAUAUAGAAAACAUGAGUAGCUGGAUUAUUUAUUUAUAUAAAUGUUCCGUUAUUUAACUAGUAAGCAGAAUUUGGAGAACAGAAAAUGCUCAAGGACAAAAAAUUAUCCCGAGAAAAUCGCGUAAAAAAAUCUGGUAAAUUGUAUGUACUGAGGAUUUCUUUACGACGUGGGAUAGAAUUUUGCGAAUUUCGGCUGUCUCAAAUAUGUUCCACUCCAAUAAUUCUUCCCAUGGAUUAUGUAGACUCAGAUCUUAAUUUCUUCUCCGAUUCUUCCAUUGGACAAACGCUUAUUAUCAAAUUAUCCUUUUCACCUUGCUUUGAGGUCCUUCUCUAAUCAUUCGUUUUGUGUCUGGAUUUCCUCGUUAUAUAUUUUUCAUAAAUGCAGCCAAUUCGAAAAAAAUGUCUGGAGCAGCCAAGAAGGGGUGCCGCUCUUCCAAUCAGCAGGUUUGAAGACACCUCCGGCAUAUUUAACGACAUGCCUACAUAAAUUCCUCACCAUAUAAGUGAUUAUCUGUGAAAACUCCAAUUUGUACCUUAUUAAUUUUGGCAGAACUCUAACACAAAUUUUCUAUCUUAUUGAUACUAACUCAGGAUUUUGAACCUAUACCGAGCUAAGAAAUCGAGUACACAUAAUUCAUCCUAAAGUUGCGUAGGCGUCCUUAACUUCCGGAGAUACGUCGCAGAGUAAAUAUGGGAAUGCAAACUUGGAUUUAAGGUCGUUAAACGAAUUAUUUAACUUUUAGGAUAGUUUAUUUAUGUAAUUUUGAAGAGGUAUGAGUCCCGUCAUCUUUAGGCAAUAAGUAAUUAUAUUAAUGUAUUUUAUCAACGAAAUUACUUAGAUAUAAGUUUAGUUUAAUUAAUUUUCUUACCAUAGCGUCCAACAUUUUAUGGCGCCAUGUAAAUACGUACCAAAACUUUGUUGUUGUGGGGGUACAUUUUUAUUGAAAGUUAACGUGCACGGUUUGAUCUUUUCCGAUUUGUAUCAUCAGUGAUAAUUUUAGUUGCUUUUUGAAUUCAAAUUAAGCAAUUCAUUUGGAGCGAAUUAAAGUAUGGACUGCACGGCGAUGGUCUUCAUAUCCAUGAUAUUCGGAGUAUUCAUGUGUCAGUAUGCAAGAUGGAUGUAUUUACUCGUUUAUUCAAAAAUGUGACUGAAAUUUGAGAAUAUCGAUCUCAAAUUUUAAAGGGUCGGAGGAUUGCAUUUGUUGUAUUUAAAAGCAAACCCGUGGUUCAAUAAUUCAUAUUUAUUUAGAUUUAAAACCUUCAAAAAAUUUACUGUCGUUCAUUGGUGGGUUUUUUGCACUUCCUAAAAGUUCACCGUGUUUUGUAUGGAUCCACAUACAUACACACAUAAACGUUAGACUUAACUUUGUAGAGGUUCCACAGUUGACAGGAUUUGCAUUUUGUUCAGCAAGUAUUUGCUUUCUUUACUUACGGUUUUUACGCUAAAUGGAGUCUCUCAAUUUCAGUGUUGUCCUGUGCAAAGUUAUCUCAUUAUACUUGCAGCAUUUUCACCAAGUAUUUUCUGGCCUCUGGCUCAGCUUCAUGAUUAAGAUUAAUAUCGAAGUGCUUCUCGUCAAAUUCCUUUUUUAGUUUGUCUUCAGAGUUUUUCUGCCCUCCUAUGGAUGUUCCGGCCGUGCUUAUUAAUUUAGCUCCAAUGGCUUCUUUUCAAGGUCGUGCUAUUAUAAGUACUGAACCAUUCUGUAAGGUCCCCGUGUGUGGAUUUAAAUUCCAUACUGGUACAAACAAAUUUUCUGGAUCUCAGGAUACUUAAUCCCGCAUUUCCAUUGUCACGAGAAAUGGGUAAAAAUAGACAUCACACUCCUUUCGUACUACCUUCGUUGUUACUCGUGCAGCAAUGCAGUUGUUAAUUUCGAUACAUAUCGUCUCUCUCAUCUUUCCUUCGACUUUGUUCGACUUGAUUAAUCGUCAUUUCUCAUAGUAGAUAAAUUUUUGGGAGAUCCUUGGAAGCGGACACGUUUAUUUGAAAUCAUUGGUUGGGUUAGGUUAGUUAAUUUUUCAAUAUUCCAUUUUGACCAUUGUCGCUUCAAGUAAUCGAAUUUCUUGUUGAUUGGCUUCGCAGCAAGGAUCGCCAGACCUAUUGUGAGCAAUGAAAUUUAAUAAAUAAUAAAGUUGGGUCCUUCUAGUUAGUAUCUUUCUUAUACUGUUCUUCUGUUCGAGUCCAUGAAAAAUGUUUUGUAUAUUACUAUUGAGCGUUUGGCUGCUUAAGAACCUAGGGACACAAAACGCAUAAACAAUUAUCGGUGUUGCUUGUAGAUUUUUCAGGGGCAUCAUUAAUCACAUUCUUCCCUGCGUUUAACUUUCAUUAAAUACGAGGCCAUCUUAAUCAGUUUUUUAUGUUAAGCAACUUUCAACAAAUGGGGGAAUUAAAUAUGGUACAGACUGAUUGGUACAAUCAUGUAUUCAGAUUUUAAACUUUGACUUUGUUUAUCCAUGUCCAUUACACAAAACCCAUGGUAAAGGGUGAAAAAUUAUUCUACAUUUUCACAAGUGCUUGCCUGGUACUCUUUUGCAACUACCUUAAAAUUUUUGCACGUAUUUCACUUGGUUGAUUAAAUUGGAAACUUCCUUUGUAUACAUUUAAUAUCUUGUGAAAUUAUUGUGAUUUUACAUGUGGUCGAUUUUUAACAGCAGAAAUAUUGGUAUCUCGGUGCUCCUAAAGAGGGGUUAGUGUUGCCUGAUUUGAUUUCAACUUCAUGUACGUAUAAAGUCAUAUCUCAUAACUAGUAGCUUGUUCCACUGAAAUGCUGGGAACCAUAAAUGUUCAUUAAAUAAAAAAUGUUAUGUGCAAGGAAAUGAUGAUGUUUUGAUUGAUUGUUUCCGAGACGAUCGGUUUAUAAGACGAAAGUCCUCGAAAUAACAGAUUCUUCUGUCGUAAGUAAAAAUCGAGGGGGGUUUCAUCAAUUAGGAAAUGAAGAACAUCAUAACUUAUUAUCUUCUUCAUUUCCAUUGUACCACGCCGCCGACUCAUGUCCCUGAAGUGGCAGGUAAGUAACCAGGGUAGCCUAAUCCCGGUAAGUCUCCACAAUUUCUAUUUUAAUCCCAUACGUGGCCUCUUCCCACGGCUCCAACUCGGGGCCGAAGAAGUAGGGAGAUUUGCGGGCGAGCUUCUCCGUGCCGUCGUGCAUCACUCUAGAUAUUACUGAAUUCUGACGGUGGUUAUAGUACCAACUAAAUUAUUGCCUGUUAAAAGUUUAUAUGAAGGGAUAGAAAACGCCAGAAUAAUCAUGAACUUGUAGCGAUUUCUCGCCACGAGACGCAUGAUGAAUGCGCUGUAGAGCUUCUUUGCUGUCUUGUUUUCGAACUUUUGACAAUGACAUUUUCCAGGGGAAAGUCUCAGGAAAGUUUAGUGGAGACUGGGCCACAAGUGGAGAUUACUAUUGUCUGGUGUGAAAGAAAGGAUCAGGUCUAGAGUUGUGGUUGAAGUACAAGAAAAUAGCCAAUUGGUUACAAAAAUGAGUAUUAGGAGCAGAACCCUCCAACCUGAUAGUUAU